CCACAGAACGAAAGAGGAGCGCUGUGCUUUUGCUUGGGCUGUGUCGCUGCGAGUGCUUUUGGGAUGGACUUGGUGAGCAAGGAGGGCAAGGGGAAGGUCUCGUGGCGAUCAAAAGUGGCGACUUCGGUAGCGGGUUCGCUUGGGCGGCGGCCUGCAUCAGGUCCUAAAGGAUCAUGGAAGAUUUCAGAAAGGUUGAUCCUUAUGAACGGACACGUAUGAGUGCCGCACGACUUAAUUGAUGAGACUUUCCUUGCAUAACAUAUCAAAGAGAAGUAUAUGCAUAGAUUGUCGACACUUGUACUUUCAACAAGGAGGAAGAAACAAUGCCUUUGAUGUGUUCUAUUUCCUCCGAAGAUUACAAUAGAGAGAAAGAAAGCCGGAUGGGGAAGGAAUAAGAAAAAGGUGAUGUGGAAAUCAUUUUGUCGCUUUGAGGUUCGUGCUUUAACCUUUUUUACUCUGAAAAAAAAAAAAAUUUUUUAUUUUUACUCCCUCGUUAGGAUCAGAAAACGAAGGCUGUACGGGGAAGCCCCCAAACUCCAUCUCUUCUCUAAUCUUCGAACACCGCCUCGAGAGAUGUUUCUUCUCCUCGUCUAAGAAACCAGAAGAGAAGGUAUCAGUUUCUUGGAGGGAACCUACACUUGCCAUUUUAAUCAUGACCAUAAGAGUGGCAUCUCGAUACAAAUGUCUAAGCGAGGACAAGUAUUUUUGGUUGUUUCAUCUUUCGUUUUCCUUGAGAAGAUAACCACGACAGCUAUCCGUUCAUUCGAUGGAAGGAUUCUUGGGCCCGAGAGCCUUCUCUGGAGGGGAAUCUAAGAACCCU